ACCGUGGAUACACCACUGGAUCGUUCUGCCCUGCCAUGACAAAGGAGUGUUGCUACUGAGCUUACCACAACAGACUAUACCAGAUAACCACCCAAAAGAUCUGAGUGAG